AUUUCCCAUAGAUAUUUCUCUUAUAUUUGUCAAAGGUUUGAAUACUGAUGACAACAGUAGAAAGUUUAACUGAACCUUUAAUUUCUAUCACCUUCCUUCUUUGGCUAUAACUUUAACAGUUCAUAUGCAUUACUGAAAGAAGCGCUUUUCUAAACAUGUAAUCUGUACAUACUAGAUAACAUGUCGUGUUUAUUCAUUUUUAUAUUACAUUAGAAAAGCCAUAAGCCUCUAGUAAUAGCCACGAUAUCUUUGUCCACUCAGACUGCAGGAGUUAUUAGUUCAAAUCUAUAGUCACAGAUGAUACCAGUAUUUCCUUACCUAAAAGUGCUCUGCAUUCAAGGAGAAAAUGGCUUCAUUUCAUUCAUAAUAUACAGUAGUGGUAACGCAAUAUCAAGAGUAAGGUGUUAAAAGUCAUUAAUAUAAGCUGCAAUCUAAGUGGAACAAAUUAGUAUAGACUUAUUUAUAUUAUUAUAAAUCAUUAAUUGUAUUUAAAAAAAACAGCUUAAAAGACUUUGCAGUCUUAACUGCAGGACUCUACAAAGUGCUGAUUUCUCUGAGCUUUUCCGUGAUCUACUGAAAGUGCAUCUGGCUGGCUAUUGUAGCUGCAGAUAUAAAUAAUAUCAUACCAAGAGUUAAAUGGAAUAUUUCAAAUAUCAAAAAAAAAAUGCCAACUAGGGAUAUGCAAUGAAGCAUUGUAUUUUCUUUUCAACUUGAAUUUUAUCUUACACAUAAUGUUAGUCUACUGAGCAUUUAUACUGUGUGUCACAUGAUAACUGGUGUCAUUAAAACCAGGCUACACUAAUAACAUAGAGGCUGAAAAUAUAUACACACACAACUUUUCUGGUAAAUGACAUGACCUGGUCCUUAAGUGGUUGUUAAGUUAACAUACUUUAAAAAUGUGAUUGGAAUAAUCAUAUAGAGUCUAUAUGGCUUAUGAUUAAAAAUAGAUUAUAUUCUGUUCUAAUCUAUUCAUCAGACAGCAUGUUCUUUAACAGUAAAUGUUAAAAGACAAAAUAAUACAGCACAACAUAACUUCCAUAAGAAUAUUAUAAUAUAUAUUUUGCAUGUGGACUGAGUUUAAUGACCAAAGAUAUCCAUUGAACAGCAGAGCAUGCUACAAAAUAGCACUAAAUACAGCGUGUGUGACAAGUAAAGAUAACGUCUAUACGGCCCCCAACAUAUAUAGCACAUGUACCGGAAUUGAUUAGCGAGCGGCCUUUAAAUGAUGCUGUUUUACUCGCUUACAUGAAACUGCCAAAUCAUAUUGACGAAUGUUAUCAAUAGAAUGAAUAUAAAUACACAAAAUGAUACCAACCUGUUGGUAUUUAUGUUUUUAGAAUAAAAGAAAUCGCUCUCCAACUUUCAAGCUCCUCAGAACCUCCAUCGAAGAAAACGCAGCAUCCGUAACCUCGUAUUGAACUGCAAGUGCUUGUUGACCCAGAUUUCAUACAAGUUUUGUAAACAUGCGUUCGUUUGGCGAGGAAAUGGUUACUUUAUAUGACCCAAUAGCAAAAAUAGAGUUUUUGAACAUACUGACACUGUGCCAAGCUUAAUUUCAGAAAGUGUGUCGGAACUAAUUGAAUGCCGGAACUGAUUGAAUGACUGUAUCCAGGUGACAUUAUUUUAGUUGCUAGCCCAAUGUCAAUGAAAAUGAUGGGUAUACAGAUAAUGUUUUUACGCUCUUUGGACAGUAAAGAUGAACUAAUCUAAUGGAACUUAGCAUUGUGCCGUCACUGCCUAGCUGCAGGGCAAACCAGGAAUAUCUUCAUCCACUUUUGAUCAAGAAUCUGUUAGCGCCAUUAGCGGCUAUUUUGAUAUGACCGGAGGUUCCACAGCCUGAGGCAAAACCUGGUGACCACCAACUCUCAGUCUCUUGCAAAUUAUGAAAUGUCUACGUUCCCGCAAGGGGUUUGACAUCAACGGAAGAUAGAGAAGAACUUAAUUAUCAUGGACUGGUGCAGUGCAACCUAGCAGAAUCAGCCUGUCAUGUGAAUGGAUGAAAAAAAAAGACACUGGAGCCUGAAUGGGUGCUUCAAAUGGUCCUGUUACCAGAAUAUUUGGUCACAGUUAAAACAACUGAAUAAGAAUAGUAUAUAAACUUUGAAGUCUAAGUGCAUGCUUGACAUAUUUUUUGGGCAAGUGGAAAAAGCUGACAAUUAUGAGCUACAUUUACAGUACAGAGUAUUCUAAAUUCUACAUAGGCCAGGAACAAAGUCUGCAAAGAUUUGAUUGUUACAAUAGUGCAGAAUGAGAUACUGAUAAUUAACUGGAUUAGCAUACAUGUCAGCAGUCAAUCAAAACUUCGAUGUCAGAAAUGCUUGAUAUCUAUGGAAAUCAGAUGUAUCGUAUCUGGCCUAAUAGGAAAUAAAGAGUUAAAUUAUUUUGAUUUUAGGCAAAGACUAAAAAAAUUUUUUGUUUCCGGUAAUAUGCUAAAAAAAUUAGGGUAGGCCUAGGACGGAAAAAAAAAUAAAAAAAAAUUUAUUAAGGGAAACUUUUCGGAAAUCAUUUUUGUGUCAAAAAAUGAAUACAAAUAAGUUAUCAUGUAAUAAAUUCAGCUUAGCAACUUUUUAUUAAAAAGUUGAAAAAACUAUUCUCCAAGGCUAUAAAAACAUAAAGGGUCGGGCCAAAAAUUUAAGAUAGCUAGGUUGGAAUGUCGGAAACAAACAAUUUUUUACACCCCAUUGAGCCUAUAUCAGUAUUCUGAUUAUUUUGAAAACAAUGCCAAGAAAUUGGCAUUUGUCACAAUUGUGUGUGAUAAUGAAUCGUUUUACAUGCAGGGUUGGAAUAAUUAAGCUCGCAUACUUGCAAUGUGCAUGUGUCUUUUGCCCAAACUCAGUAUCACAAAAUUUUGCUUGUGCUAACUUAAAUGGAAUCAACAGCAUUUAUCAUUUCUUUGACUUCCUGUUUCGAUCUGCUGUAAAUAUGUAUUCAUUCAUGGUGCUUUACAUGAUAUGCACAAUUGAUGAUGUUUUUACAUAGUGUGCGGCCUGGCAGGGGUGGCGAAAGCUGAUUUUGACUUGCUUGUCCGUUUUUGCCAAUUGCUAUUUUUAGCUCGACUACGAAGAAUAGGGGAGCUAUCCUACUCGCCCUGGUGUGAGCGUCACACAAAUGUUGAAGUUAGCGUACCACCCCAAAUAUUUUCAAAGUCCAUUGAGAUAUUGCUUUCAUAUUUUGCAUACUUGUUUACCAUCAUGACCCCAGUCUGUAAAAAGGAGGAGGCAACUCUAUCAAGCAUUUUGACUGAAUUAUGGCCCCUUUUCGACUUAGAAUAUGCUUAUUGUAAUGUUAAAGUUUUACUCAUUGCUUAUAUUAUACUAUCAAGUACUGAGAAUAGUCGAGCGUGCUGUCCACUGACAGCUCUUGUUUACUUGUCCGUAUGAUAGUUAUAAAUAUAGUAAAUUCUGGUCAAAUUUCAUUUGUCCGUACAAGCUUUGGGACAACCCCAGGGCAAUACGGACAAUUGAAUUUGCCACCCCUGCCUGGUUACAACAUGAUAUUUUGUUUGUGUCUGCUUGUGUAUUGUGGCGUAAGAGGGUAAGUAUGAAGUAUUUUCUACAAUUAUAUUGUGGAGUAAGUAAGUAUGAAGUGUGACUGCAGUUGUAUUGUAGAGUAAGUAUAUUAAAGAUAUAUUAAAGUAGAUCUAUGGUAAUUAUUAUGAAUACAUUGUCAUGAAGUAAGUAUGAAGUGCGUUCACAAUUGUGUCAUGGAGUACUUUUGAAGUACAACCACAUUUAUAUCGUAGAAUAAGUAUGAAAUAUGUCGAUACAGUAUGUUGUAUUGUGAAGUAUAAAGUAGUCUACAGAUGUAUGGUGGAGUAAGUAUGAAGUAUAUCUAUAGAUGUAUGGUAGAAUACGUAUGAAGUAUGUCUACAGAUGUAUCAUGGAGUAAGUAUGAAGUAUGUUUACAGAUGUAUGGUGGAAUACGUAUGAAGUAUGUCUACAGAUGUAUCAUGGAGUAAGUAUGAAGUAUGUUUACAGAUGUAUGGUGGGAUAAGUAUGAAAUUUGUAUACAGAUGUAUCAUGGAGUAAGUAUGAAGUAUGUCUACAGAUGUGUCAUGGUGUAAAUAUGAGUAUAUCUACAUAUGUAUCAUGGAGUAAGUAUGAGGUAUGUCUACAGAUGUGUCAUGGUGUAAAUAUGAAGUAUAUCUACAUAUGUAUCAUGGAGUAAGUAUGAAGUAUGUCUACAGAUGUAUGGUGGGAUAAGUAUGAAGUUUGACUAUAGUCGUAUUGUGUAGUAGUUAUAAAGUAUGAUAACAGAACUUUGUGUCAUGGAGUAAGUGGCAGUGUGAAAUAUGUCUAUGUAGCUAACUAGUUGAGCAUGCAUGAGGUAUACCAGCAGUAGUAUUUUGGAGUAAGUAUAAAGUACCUCCACAGUUUUAUACUUGAGUAAGUAUGAAGUAAUUCCAUAGCUGUGUCAUGGAGUAAAUAUGAAGUGCAUCUACAGUUGUGUCAAUGAGUAAGUAUAAAGUACACACACAACAGUGUCAUGGAUUUAGUAUAGAGUGCUUUCACAGUUGUAAUUUGUUGAUCAAGUAUGAAAAGUUAUAAUGAAUGUUUAAAGUUGUAUUAUGUAUAAUAUGGAAUAAGUAUGAAUUAUGUCCUCAAUUGUAUUGUGUAUCAAACAUUAGAUUUGUCUACAAGUUAUGUUAUGAAUUUUUUAUACUCACUAAAAAGCAUUUGAAUUCUAACCCUGACAUGCACAUUUAUAGUACAUAUAAGCUGUGGCUGUUUUACUGGUGGGCAUUAGUAUCAUGUAUAAAUUUGUUAAAGAUGAUAAAUUUUGCAGAUGAUCACAUCAUGUACUGUUAAUUCCUGAUUCAUCAAUGCCAUGAUUGAACAGCAAUUCACUAGUAAACGUUUCACUGCAUAUAGAAACAAGCAACUCCGCAGUCUUCUAAAUUUCUUUUGAAAAGUCAACUUUGAUCUUAAAGUUGUAUGAUACUGUUUAGUAUUUUCCUCUUUGGGAUGGCUACCAAUUAGAUAAUCUUAAAAAAAGUCACAUUAUAUUUUGACCUUAUCAGUCUUGGCUUGAUUAAUCAUUAAAAGUGUUUUGAGAAGAAAAUAGAUAUAAUUACACAAAAUUUGAAUAGCCUUAGGAGUUAAUAUCAGGGUCUGAACACAGACUAAUGUUUAUUUUUCUGUUUUAGAUAAAUUGUUCUUCAACAAACAAUAAUUGCAUUUUGUUUUUGACAUAGCUUUACUGUUUAACCUUGUUAGAUAUUGUAUGUCACUAUAAACACACUUAUUAUUUUAAGAAUCCUUGUUAAAGAGAUUUGAGACAAAUUGUUUAUAGUGUAAUAGUAACAUGAUAUCUACAGUCUGAUGUAUUACUAUACACCACAGGCAUUGGGUUAUAAUUACAUGUAUUGUCAAAAUAUAUCAUAUCAGAUUGUU